rnacentral:rRNA from 1 species
AUUGAACGCUGGCGGCAGGCCUAACACAUGCAAGUCGAGCGAGCGGCGGACGGGUGAGUAAUGUAUGGGGACUGCCCGAUAGAGGGGGAUAACUCCUGGAAACGGUAGCUAAUACAGCAUACUAUCGGAUAACCCAUAUGGGAUUAGCUAGUAGGUGAGGUAAUGGCUCACCUAGGCGACGAUCCCUAGCUGGUCUGGGAGGAUGAUCAGCCACACGGGGACUGAGAACCGGCCCAGACCCCUACGGAGGCAGCAGUGGGGUAUAUUGCACAAUGGGCGCAAGCCUGAUGCAGCCCUGCGGCGUGGUUGAAGAAGGCCCCUGGGUUGUAAAGUACUUGCAUUUGGGAGUCGUUGUCGACGGAUGAAGCACCGGCUAACGCCGGGCCAGCAGCCGCGGUAAUAC